CACGACAAGGUUAAUCCGAGUGGUUUCUGCUAAAGGAACCUUUUGUUAGUCAUAGAACCACUAAUGAAUAAGGGGUGGGCAGGUUCUGGUGUCAGCCGCCGCGGUAAAACCAGCACCUCAAGUGGUCAGGAUGAUUAUUGGGCCUAAAGCAUCCGUAGCCUGCUUUGUAAGUUUUCGGUUAAAUCCAUACGCUCAACGUAUGGGCUGCCGGGAAUACUGCACAGCUAGGGAGUGGGAGAGGUAGACGGUACUCGGUAGGAAGGGGUAAAAUCCUUUGAUCUAUCGAUGACCACCUGUGGCGAAGGCGGUCUACCAGAACACGUCCGACGGUGAGGGAUGAAAGCUGGGGGAGCAAACCGGAUUAGAUACCCGGGUAGUCCCAGCUGUAAACUAUGCAAACUCGGUGAUGCAUUGGCUUGAUGCCAAUGCAGUGCCGCAGGGAAGCCGUUAAGUUUGCCGCCUGGGAAGUACGU
rnacentral:rRNA from 1 species